AGAUUCGUAGAGGUCUGACCGAAAAUCAGACGGCGAUGGGCGGCGAUUGCGAAAUGGCCUGGACGGAUGCAUGCCUCCGUCAUCCCUGUGCUUGUCACAGGGAUCCAGCAGCGCCGCGUCUGUGGCGGGGGAAGAGUUCUUUCAGCCCAAGGACUUGGGCUGGCUGGAUUCCGGUGAC
rnacentral:sRNA from 1 species